rnacentral:rRNA from 1 species
UACGUAGGGUGCGAGCGUUAAUCGGAAUUACUGGGCGUAAAGCGUGCGCAGGCGGUUCGUUGUGUCUGAUGUGAAAGCCCCGGGCUUAACUUGGGAAUGGCAUUGGAAACUGGCGAGCUAGAGUGUGGCAGAGGGGGGUGGAAUUCCGCGUGUAGCAGUGAAAUGCGUAGAGAUGCGGAGGAACACCGAUGGCGAAGGCAGCCCCCUGGGCUAACACUGACGCUCAGGCACGAAAGCGUGGGGAGCAAACAGG